AAGAGUAGAUGAGACCUGAGUAAAUAAU
rnacentral:piRNA from 1 species